UGAGCACAGGCUUGGAUGGUAGUUCAAGCCGUGAUAUUUGAUUUCCCAGUAAGAGUGCGCACGGUUACAAGAAAAGAGGGCUGACAACGGGUUACCAAUAUGUAAGAGACAAGCAGAGGGACGGAGGUCAGUGAGAGGGAGAUGGGGCAGUCCGACAGAGGAGAGCCAAGAGGAAGAGUCCAGGCUGCUGGGUGAAGGGAGCAGAGUGGCCCCACGCCAACACUAACUGCCCUGGAGAACGUGAGUAAAACCAGACAGACGUUUCCAGCAGAUUAGACACACAGGGAAACAUCAGCAACUUUAGAGAGAAAAGUUUCUGCGGAGUGACUGAGAUGGAAGGCCGAUGUUACAGCACAUCAAAGAGUGAAUGGGAGAUAAAGAGUGAGAAGACCAUUGCUGCCUUGUAACCCCAGAACCUACACCACACUCAGUGCCUAAGAGAUGAUGAAAUAUUUAUUGACAAAUGAAUGGGACCCCAGCACCUUAGGGACCCCAACCGGGACCACCUCUAGGGAAGCAGAGGGGAGAAGUCACGCUCCAAAACAAAGCGUCGUUCACCCCACAGUGAGCAAGGCACACCUUUCACACUG